GCCCCGUAUCGGAAUGAGUACACUUUAAAUCAUUUAACAAAAAUCUAUUGGAGGGAAAGUCUGGUGCCAGCAUCCGCGGUAACUCCAGCUACAAUAGCGUAUAUUAAAGUUGUUGCGGUUAAAAAGCUCGUAGUUGGUUCUGUGUGCCAUGCUGUCGGUUCACCGCCUGCCGGUGUUACUGACAUGUCAUGGGACGUCCUGUCGGUGGUAAUUAAAGGCUUAUUGUUAUAGUAGAGGCUUGCUUCUACUAAACAUAAGUACUUUAAUUGCCGAUUAAAUCCUGCCGCGGUGCUCUUUACUGAGUGUCGAGGUGGGCCGACACGUUUACUUUAAACAAAUUAAAGUGCUCAAAGCAGGCAAAAGUCUGCCUGAAUAGUAGUGCAUGGAAUAAUAGAAUAGGACCUUGGUUCUAUUUUGUUGGUUUUCUGAAUCCAAGGUAAUGAUCAAUAUGGACAGGCGGGGGCAUUCGUAUUGCGACGUUAGAGGUGAAAUUCUUGGAUCGUCGCAAGACGAACUAAAGCGAAAGCAUUUGCCAAGUAUGUCUUAAUUGAUCAAGAACGAAAGUUAGAGGUUCGAAGGCGAUCAGAUACCGCCCUAGUUCUAACCAUAAACGAUGCCAGCUAGCGAUCCGCCGAUGUUUUAUUCAUGACUCGACGGGCAGCUUCCGGGAAACCAAAGCUUUUGGGUUCCGGGGGAAGUAUGGUUGCAAAGCUGAAACUUAAAGGAAUUGACGGAAGGGCACCACAAGAAGUGGAGCCUGCGGCUUAAUUUGA
rnacentral:rRNA from 1 species